CCUACGGGAGGCAGCAGUGAGGAAUAUUGGUCAAUGGGCGAGAGCCUGAACCAGCCAAGUAGCGUGCGGGAUGAAGGCCCUUGUGGUCGUAAACCGCUUUUAUCAGUGAAUAAAGUGCAUCACGUGUGGUGUCAUUGCAGGUAGCUGAAGAAAAAGGACCGGCUAAUUCCGUGCCAGCAGCCGCGGUAAUACGGAAGGUCCGGGCGUUAUCCGGAAUUAUUGGGUUUAAAGGGAGCGCAGGCGGGAGUGUAAGUCAGCUGUUAAAUAUCAGGGCCCAACUCUGUUAUGCAGUGGAAACUAUAUUUCUUGAGUACGCACAGGGAUGGCGGAAUUCAGGGUGUAGCGGUGAAAUGCUUAGAUAUCCUGAAGAACUCCGAUCGCGAAGGCAGCCAUCCGGAGCGUAACUGACGCUGAGGCUCGAAGGUGCGGGUAUCGAACAGGAUUAGAUACCCUUGUAGUC
rnacentral:rRNA from 1 species